rnacentral:lncRNA from 1 species
UUAUGCUAUGCAUAUGAAUUAUUAUUUCAUUUCAUCCUUAGGAGGCUCUUACCCCUGUCAGAAGGGUAGAGUAAAAUAUUACCAUAGUCUUUCCUCCAGAAAUUGAUGCCCACAGAGGAUGAACUACUUGCCCAAGAUCAAACAUCAGGGAAAGCUUUAGACCCAGAGAGAUAUGGAAAAACAGAGACUAUCCGAUGAACUGAGGCCCAACAAGGCUCACUCCCUGCAACAUCCAGGGCUUGAGCCAAGACCAACCCCCAAAAGCAAUGGGCAGUGGGAAGCCAAGCAGCAGCGACUUCCAACCCAUUUCAUUCCUGCAGAGCUCAGUUUCCUCUCUGAAGUCUUUAAAGAAGCAAGGGUCAUAGAAGCAGUACCCACUCCCAUCCCAUGCCAGGGCCACAGAGGGAGCCCACCAAGGCUACAGAAAGAUUCUGUUAUCCCCUCAGAUCCACAGGGAUACCAAGAACACAACAGGGUCAAAGAAGCAGCUUCCAGUCCCGGAAGGGCCACAGAGGGUAGAUACACCAGAGCACUCUAGUUCUCCCCUCUGGAAGCUUUCCACCUUUCUUGGUUCCCAUGGAGAGACAGCCGCUGCUCCAGGACCUGAACAUGGCACUGCCGGUUAGCAUGUGACUUUUCUUUCUGAUCCUGGGCAAGUGACAACUUUUCAGGGUCACAGUACCCCCAUACUAGAUAGGAGCGUGGAUCCCUCAUUGUAUCUCUUUGCUCACACCCGCUUCCAUAUCUGCAUGAAGUUGGCUAGAAGGUCCUGGGGAUAUCUUACAGCUCCAGAAGCUACACAGACUAUAAUCCAAUUUAUUUCCUCCACUGACACAGAUCUCCAAUUCUGUCAGCCUAAAUAAAUAGUUACAUGUGGUCA